UACGUAGGGGGCAAGCGUUGUCCGGAAUCAUUGGGCGUAAAGCGCGUGUAGGCGGUUCGGUAAGUCUGCUGUGAAAGUCCAGGGCUCAACCCUGGAAGGCCGGUGGAAACUGUCGGGCUAGAGUCCGGAAGAGGCGAGUGGAAUUCCCGGUGUAGCGGUGAAAUGCGUAGAUAUCAAGAGGAACACCUGCGGCGAAGGCGGGUUGCUGGGCCGACACUGACGCUGAGGCGCGAAAGCCAGGGGAGCGAACGGG
rnacentral:rRNA from 1 species